rnacentral:misc_RNA from 1 species
UUUAGGGAGACCUUACCCCCAUUUCCUCAAACUUUAGGGUAAAUGCCUAGAGCAAGCAGAGGAGUGGUUGGUCAUCUCAAGGUCGGUGAGGGUUGGAUGUAAGGCUUUCAAACUUGUCUGGUUCGAUAUUAAAGCUUCAGACGGUAACAAUAUAAGCGUGUACCCACAAAAUAACUUGUGUGGAAGCCUUUAUUGAUUAUUUCUCUCAAUGCUAAAUGGUAUAUAUUCAGCAACAGAUUUAGUUGUUAGUGAGACUAAGCUGACUGCUGGAUUGUAUUCCAGUAAGAACCAUGAAAACUGCAUAGAGAUAAGCAAUUAAGUCAGGUAGAAGAUUAGUUGUGUUCAUCGAUUGAUUGUCGAUUGAUUGAUCAAUGGAUGAAGCAAUUAAGGCUUCAUAGACACCAAUGAUUUUGAAGUUAGU